rnacentral:tRNA from 1 species
UAGCUCAGAUGGUAGAGCGACAGACUCUUAAUUUGUUGGUCAUGGGUUCGAUUCCCAU